UACGAACUGUGCGAACGUUAUUCGGAAUCACUGGGCUUAAAGGGUGCGUAGGCGGCUGUCUAAGUAGGGUGUGAAAGCCCCCGGCUCAACCGGGGAAUUGCGCCCUAAACUGGAUGGCUGGAGUGAGGCAGGGGUGUGUGGAACUUCCGGUGGAGCGGUGAAAUGUGUUGAUAUCGGAAGGAACGCCGGUGGCGAAAGCGACACACUGGGUCUCAACUGACGCUGAGGCACGAAAGCCAGGGGAGCAAACGGG
rnacentral:rRNA from 1 species